GUAGGGAAUCUUCCACAAUGGACGAAAGUCUGAUGGAGCAACGCCGCGUGAGUGAUGAAGGUUUUCGGAUCGUAAAACUCUGUUGUCAGGGAAGAACACCCGGGAGAGGAUCCCGGAUUGACGGUACCUGACGAGAAAGCCCCGGCUAACUACGUGCCAGCAGCCGCGGUAAUACGUAGGGGGCAAGCGUUGUCCGGAUUUAUUGGGCGUAAAGCGCGCGCAGGCGGCUUACUAAGUCUGAUGUGAAAGCCCACGGCUCAACCGUGGAGGGCCAUUGGAAACUGGUAAGCUUGAGUGUAGGAGAGGAGAGCGGAAUUCCUGGUGUAGCGGUGAAAUGCGUAGAUAUCAGGAGGAACACCCGUGGCGAAGGCGGCUCUCUGGCCUAUAACUGACGCUGAGGCGCGAAAGCGUGGGGAGCAAACAGG
rnacentral:rRNA from 1 species